rnacentral:tRNA from 3 species
GCCGAUGUAGCUCAAUGGAAGAGCAAUUGAUUUGUAAUCAAUAGGUUGGGGGUUCAACUCCCUUCAUCGGCUCCA